UACGGAAGGCAGCAGUGGGGAAUAUUGCACAAUGGGCGAAAGCCUGAUGCAGCUAUGCCGCGUGUAUGAAGAAGGCCUUAGGGUUGUAAAGUACUUUCAUCGGGGAGGAAAAACAAAACUAAUAAUUUUAUUUCUUGACGUUACCCGAAAAAGAAGCACCGGCUAACUCCGUGCCAGCAGCCGCGGUAAUACGGAGGGUGCUAGCGUUAAUCAGAAUUACUGGGCGUAAAGAGCACGUAGGUGGUUUUUUUAAGUCAGAUGUGAAUCCCUGGGCUUAACCUAGGAACUGCAUUUUGAAACUGAAAUACUAGAGUAUCGUAGAGGGAGGUAGAAUUCUAGGUGUAGCGGUGAAAUGCGUAGAUAUCUGGAGGAAUACCUGUGGCGAAAGCGGCCUCCUAAACGAAUACUGACACUGAGGUGCGAAAGCGUGGGGAGCAAACAGGGAUUAGAU
rnacentral:rRNA from 1 species